GAACUUGGAUCAGUGAAGCCAGUCAGUGGAAGGAGGAUCAGGCCCAUAAUGACUACUCUUUAAUCAGGACCUGAUCUUGCAAGCUGCUGCUGUUCUGGUCUUGAGGGUCCCCUCAUUGCAACUGGGGAACGCCUGACCAUGAUAAGGAGGAGAAAGAAGAGGACAUGGGAGGAUAUGCUCACUGAGAUCCUGCAAGCCAGUGUUGCAUCAGAUUGUGAACAGAGUGCUUGGAGGGUUGAUAUUGAAAGAAAGAGUGGACAAGAGAAAGGACCAGGAGUCCCAGAAGAAAAAGGAGAAGGAGAUGCACCAGGACAUAAUGGGGCUUCUCUGGCAGAAAAAAACAGAUUCUGCAGACUCUUGUUGAUAUACAGGUCUAACAAUCACAGGCUCACUUCCAUUUGCAGUCAAUGGAGAGCUCCAUUUUAGCACCUCCUUACGCCCUCCAACAUUUCACAUGGUAUCAGGGGUAGCAUCCUUACCACUCCACACGGGGCUCCAGUCAGGACAAUUACAGCUUCACAUACAUUGACCUAUGAAAGCCACAGUUGCUAUAUAUGUAGCCAAAAUAGACUGAAAUGGACAGAAAUGUCCUUUCCCCUGGUUAAGUGCUGUUCCAUUAAUUUACUUCAGAAGUUUUUAUUGUAUUUGUUUUCCAAUUGCACAUAGUUUUUUGCACUGGUUUUGGUAGGCAAUACAAUUCUAUGUUUUGGAAA